UACGAAGGGGGCUAGCGUUGCUCGGAAUCACUGGGCGUAAAGCGCACGUAGGCGGAUUGUUAAGUCAGGGGUGAAAUCCUGGAGCUCAACUCCAGAACUGCCUUUGAUACUGGCGAUCUCGAGUCCGGGAGAGGUGAGUGGAAUUCCUAGUGUAGAGGUGAAAUUCGUAGAUAUUCGCAAGAACACCAGUGGCGAAGGCGGCUCACUGGCCCGGUACUGACGCUGAGGUGCGAAAGCGUGGGGAGCAAACAGG
rnacentral:rRNA from 1 species